UACGGAGGGUGCGAGCGUUUGUCCGGAAUCAUUGGGCGUAAAGGGCGCGUAGGUGGCUUCUUAAGCGUGCGGUGAAAGCCUGGGGCUCAACCCCGGGUCGGCCGUGCGAACUGGGGGGCUGGAGCACUGUAGAGGCAGGCGGAAUUCCGGGUGUAGCGGUGGAAUGCGUAGAGAUCCGGAAGAACACCGGUGGCGAAGGCGGCCUGCUGGGCAGUGCUGACACUGAGGCGCGGACAGCGUGGGGAGCAAACAGG
rnacentral:rRNA from 1 species